UCCCUGGUGGCUCAGAGGUUACAGCGUCUGCCUUCAAUGCAGGAGACCCGGGUUCAAUCCCUGGGUAGGGAA